ACGGGUGAGUAAUACAUCGGAACGUGCCCUGUAGUGGGGGAUAACUAGUCGAAAGAUUAGCUAAUACCGCAUACGACCUGAGGGUGAAAGUGGGGGACCGCAAGGCCUCAUGCUAUAGGAGCGGCCGAUGUCUGAUUAGCUAGUUGGUGGGGUAAAGGCCCACCAAGGCGACGAUCAGUAGCUGGUCUGAGAGGACGAUCAGCCACACUGGGACUGAGACACGGCCCAGACUCCUACGGGAGGCAGCAGUGGGGAAUUUUGGACAAUGGGCGAAAGCCUGAUCCAGCAAUGCCGCGUGUGUGAAGAAGGCCUUCGGGUUGUAAAGCACUUUUGUCCGGAAAGAAAUGGCUCUGGUUAAUACCUGGGGUCGAUGACGGUACCGGAAGAAUAAGGACCGGCUAACUACGUGCCAGCAGCCGCGGUAAUACGUAGGGUCCAAGCGUUAAUCGGAAUUACUGGGCGUAAAGCGUGCGCAGGCGGUUGUGCAAGACCGAUGUGAAAUCCCCGAGCUUAACUUGGGAAUUGCAUUGGUGACUGCACGGCUAGAGUGUGUCAGAGGGGGGUAGAAUUCCACGUGUA
rnacentral:rRNA from 2 species